UACAGAGGUCUCGAGCGUUAGGCGGAAUCACUGGGCUUAAAGCGUGUGUAGGCGGAUCGGUAAGUACCUUGUGAAAUCCCACAGCUUAACUGUGGAACUGCUUGGUAUACUGCCAGUCUUGAGCCAGCUAGGGGCUACCGGAACAAAUGGUGGAGCGGUGAAAUGCGUAGAUAUCAUUGGAACGCCAAUGGUGAAAACAGGUAGCUGGGGCUGUGCUGACGCUGGAGACACGAAAGCCAGGGGAGCAAACGGG
rnacentral:rRNA from 1 species